GAUGAACGCUGGCUACAGGCUUAACACAUGCAAGUCGAGGGGAAACGACGGGGAAGCUUGCUUCCCCGGGCGUCGACCGGCGCACGGGUGAGUAACGCGUAUCCAACCUGCCUCUGACUGAGGGAUAACCCGUCGACAGUCGGCCUAAUACCUCAUGGCAUCGUCUGCGGGCAUCCAACGACGAUUAAAGAUUUCAUCGGUCCGGGAUGGGGAUGCGUCUGAUUAGCUUGUUGGCGGGGUAACGGCCCACCAAGGCUACGAUCAGUAGGGGUUCUGAGAGGAAGGUCCCCCACAUUGGAACUGAGACACGGUCCAAACUCCUACGGGAGGCAGCAGUGAGGAAGAUUAGUCAAUGGGCGGGAGCCUGAACCAGCCAAGUAGCGUGCAGGAGGACGGCCCUAUGGGUUGUAAACUGCUUUUAUGCGGGGAUAAAGUGAGGGACGUGUCCUUCAUUGCAGGUACCGCAUGAAUAAGGACCGGCUAAUUCCGUG
rnacentral:rRNA from 1 species